AGCAGCCGCGGUAAUUCCAGCUCCAAUAGCGUAUAUUAAAGUUGUUGCAGUUAAAAGCUCGUAGUUGAAUUUCGGGAUUGGCGCAUCGGUCGUGCCUCACGGGGUAUGAACUGGUGCAGUCAAUUUCUCACCUUCUGGAGAACCGCGAUGUCCUUAAUUGGAUGCCGCGGGGAACCAGGACCUUUACUUUGAAAAAACUUAGAGUGUUUAAAGCAGGCAUUUUUGCUUGAAUACAUUAGCAUGGAAUAAUAAAAUAGGACGGCAUGGUUCUAUUUUGUCGGUUUCUAGGACCACCGUAAUGAUUAAUAGGGAUAGUUGGGGGCAUUAGUAUUCAAUUGUCAGAGGUGAAAUUCUUGGAUUUAUUGAAGACUAACUACUGCGAAAGCAUUUGCCAAGGAUGUUUUCAUUAAUUAAGAACGAAAGUUAGGGGAUCGAAGACGAUCAGAUACCGUCGUAGUCUUAACCAUAAACUAUGCCGACUAGGAAUCAGACGAUGUUAAUUUUUUCAAUGACUCGUUUG
rnacentral:misc_RNA from 1 species